UUGAACCCAGGUUGCUGUUUUAACCAAUAAAAAAAGCCAAGAGCAACUGUGUGAUCUUGAAGCUGCUUUAGAACUUGGUUUGCUUGAUAUGCAUCCAUUGAAAAAUUAAGAUUUCCAAGAGCCUUCUCUGCUGCAGGACCCCACCUCAGUUGUUUCAGUAUCUGACAAACAUUUUCCACAAUGCGUCCGCUGCUUGCAAACUGUCUGGUACUUGGCACCAUUACA
rnacentral:misc_RNA from 1 species